GAGUGCCCCCCCCCCCCCCGCCAUGUCUUUACCAGCGGUAAGGGAAGGUCAAAGCCGCUGAGAGGGAAGCCUUUGGCUCCUGCAAGUCUGUCUGCUCUUGUGGUGCGUCUGUCGGAUGCAGCCAUGUGCGCGCAGGUUCACAUACUCUGCCCGACCCCGGGAGCAGCCCAGGUUAACCUGUUUCACUCGGAGGCCCAGAGAGGCUCCACGGGUAGCUCGGGAUCGCCCAGCUGGUUCUUCGUUAGGCAAUGGAAACACAUCCCAACUCUGGCAGCCCCAAAGUUUGCGUCUUUGGUAUUUCACGUGCAAGUCAUUAAGUGUCUGCUCAACACGGAGGACAGAAGCCUGUCGUGAUGACAGCAGGGGCGGUUCAUGUAGGCUCCAGGCCCAGCAUGGAGCCCAACCUGGGGCUUGAACUCAGGAGCCUGAGAUCAAGAGCCAGACGCUUAACCAACUGAGCCACCCAGGGGCCCCUGACUUUCCCAAUUCUUAAACUUCAGAAAGGAUACCUGGCUAGUCAGCGAACAUCCUUUAUGUAAUUCCAUCUCCUACAGAGGGAAAAAAUAAAGCCCAGAAAGUACAAUUUCUCCUCAUUAAAUAAAUGGAUCACAGAAGCAAUCUAAUUUCUCAGAGAUUUGUUUUUGAGUUAUUCAUGUUUCUUCAGUUUGUCCCAUGUCUUGGAUUUCAUAUACUAACAUGUGUUAGGUUAAUGAAACAAGGAGGCCAUCAGACCGACAGGGCUCUAAACCAACCCAAACCAUCUAAGCCUGUAAAUGCCUCAAGGUUACAAAAGUGAAACCUAAGGACCACCAAUCCCAAGCAGCCAGCUAGGACUCAUGCUCUAUUUCCUCACUUUACUUCUGCCUUUUCUCUAUAAAAGUUUCCCCCCAACUCCUGUCAGUGGAUCUCUCUUAACUACCUCCAGUUUGGCACUGCCUGGUUGGAAGCCAUUUUUGCUCAAACUAAAAUGUUAACAUGCCUCAGUUGAUCUUUCAACAGUUUUGGUGUAUAUGAAGGUGAACCACCUCCCCCCACCCCCAUGGCCCCCAGGAGCAAGGAGCAACCAGGGGCAGAUACCUGCUGAGCCCAGUGGGCUCACUGCUUUUCUCACUGCAUCUGGAUGCUGCGGCAGGACUUGAUGAAAUGGAGACCGGAAAGUGUGAAAGUCCCGAUCUCUCAGAAGUGCCUGAAUGCCUAUGGGCUUCUUCCUCAACCAACAAAGGCAAAAUUAAGAGUGCUGAACCCAUAGAAAUCCAAAUAGAUCAUUCCAAACCUCUGCCUAAAUUGUCUCAAUAUUCAUCAAGACCAGAAUCUCCUGAAGAGCUCUCACCGACUACAGAAGACUUAACUAAGGACUCCAAAUCCCAUGCACUAGUCCCUGUAAUGCUCCAAUCUUCCCAUUAAAAGACCAAAUGGACAAGGUGUGUCCAGGAUCUGCAUGCAAUCAAUAAAAUUGUGAUCUGAAGGUUCCCGUCGUUCCAAAUCUCAACACCUUGUUAUCUAAUGUGAAGUGGAUCACAGUGGUGGGUCUUUGCUCUGCUUUCUUCAGCAUCCCAGUUGACAGCAAGAAUCAAUAUUUAUUCAUCUUUACUUGGAAAAACCAACAAUAUACCUGGAUGAUAACGCCACAAGGGGUCACUGAAGCCCCAUUCUGUUUGUCCUGGGUUUUAUAUCAAGAUCUUACAGUUCCUCAAGAAUGCUAUAUUCAUCAGUAUGUAGAUGCCUUAUUGCUAUGCUUCCCUCUAAGGGAAGACUCAGAAAUAGAUUCAGUUUAACUAUUACAGCAAUGAGCUUGUAAAGGCUGUAAAGCUUCCAAGGAAAAAGUCCAAUUCUCAAAAGAGAAGGUCCGCUAUCUAAGACAUGAUUUGAAUGCAGAAGGCAUUUUCCUCUCACCUAAAAGAAUAAAGACCACCCAAAACUUCCCCAGAACUACAACUAAUAACAAUUUCCUGAACUUGCAGGGUAUUGUAGGUCUCGGGUUCCACAUUUUUCUCUGAUUGCAUCGCCUCUGUAUGAGCUUACAAGGAACUCAAUUCCAGAGCCCUUAUCCUCGGAAGCUAAUCAUGAACAAGCCUUUUUUUUUUUUUUUUAAAGAUUUUAUUUUAUUUAUUUGAGAGAGAGAGAAUGAGAGACAGAGAGCAUGAGAGGGAGGAGGGUCAGAGGGAGAAGCAGACUCCCUGCCGAGCAGGGAGCCCGAUGCGGGACUCGAUCCUGGGACUCCAGGAUCAUGACCUGAGCCGAAGGCAGUCGCUUAACCAACUGAGCCACCCAGGCGCCCCCAUGAACAAGCCUUUAGCCAACUAAAAUUAGCCCUGCAACAAACUCUGGCCCUAGGGCUCCCAAAUUAUACUAAACCUUUCACCUUAUUUGUCCAUGAGAGCAAUAACCAGGCUCUAGGAAUUCUAACCCAAGAGCAUGGAGGAAAACACAGAUCUACUGCUGACCACAGCUUACAGGUAGACCCAGGAACCAGAGGACAUCCAAGCAGUAGCCACAGCGUCUCAACUGGGGGGGGGGGAUCCUCAGCUGAACCGGUGUUAGAACAUGACCUAAUAUUACAAGUACCUCAGGCUGGUCAGAGUCUAUUACACUGCGAUCAGAUUCAACAUUUUCAGCAAGUAGAUGAACGUCUUGUGAGAGUCUUCUCCUUUCACCUUCGAACCUCCUUCUAUUGUGCUGCAAGUCACUCAAGCCUGCUGCCCUGGCCCAGUGAUGGUAUGGAUCUGCGUAAACGUGUAGAUGUGGUAUCACGGUUCUUGACCCUUCGCAUGACUUACAGGACAAAUCAUUAGAAAUCCCAGAUUUGAUACUCUUGGUCAAUGGGUCCUAUGCUAAGAAUGCAGGAGGGCAGUAUCAAGCAGGAACAGCGGAGUUACAUGCCCUCACGUGUUAGCCACCCAAGGAUACCUCGAGCACAUAUGCCUUUGGGUGGUCUUUGCCUUUGCUCCAUGAUGGAAACAGAAAGUUCCUCACUUCUGGAAAACUGGACUUGGAGUAAAUGAACUGCUCUCUGCCAUUCUAUCCCCUGACUGAAUUGGAAGGAUUAAAAACGAAGUUCAUACUAGAAGACAGAACCUGAGUAUCAGGGAAAUGCUCUAGCAGACUUCGAUGUGAAAUCAGCCAGCACUAAAACUGUUCCAAUAUACAACUUGAAUGAACUCCUAAGACCGAGUCUAACCAAAUUAUUUAUGAUAAUCUAUAUAAAAGACAAAAUCAGGCACUUGAGCUGGAACGACAAAUGUUGAGACCAAGCGUGCAAAUUUAAUAUUAGAUGAGGAUAUGCUGAGGGCCUGGAUGGGCUCCUGGUUCUUCCCGAGUCCUUAAAACUGCCAUUACUAGAAGUGCUACCUUCUGCAACUCAAUGUGGCACAGAAGAAAAUGACCUAAAUUAUGAAAAGUAUUGGUGGGAGACCGCUCCAAGGUCGCAAUGUCUGAUUGAUCAAACCCCUAACCCUGGGAAGACCAUUAAGAUGGCCCAUUAGAUGGAGCAUUCUACCAUCUUUGGGGCCAUCUGAACACUUACAAAUGGAUUUCAUUCAAUUGCUCCCACAAUGGGUUAUCAAUAUGUCCUUGUCAUUGUUUGCAUUUUCUCAGGACAGACUGAAACCUUGCAGAAGGGCUGAUGCCAUCACCACGGCUAAGAAACGCUUAGAAAAGACAAUUUUCUUUAUGGGGUAUCCCCAGAGAGACCUCCAGUGAUGGGGAACUCAUUUCAUUGGGCAAAUAAACAAAUAGGGUGCUGCUAACGCAAUGGCCUGACUACUGUCCUUACCAUUCUCAGUCAUCCAGUAAAGUCGAAUGGACACAUGGUAACUUAAAACUAAAGCUAGCUAAAUUAACAGAAUCGACUGGACUGCCCUGGCCAGAAGUUCUACCAUUGGUUUUGAUGGCAAUGAGAUCGACACUUACGGGAAAGCACAAAUUAACAUCUCAUAAAAUAGUAAUAGGAAGACCUAUGCCUUUGAUGAUAGAACCACAUGUGUCUCCCGCACUCAUAAAUUCUGGUAUGACUCAGUAUUGUAAAGCUUUAAUGUAUUAUGCCAAAGUGUAUUUCUACCAGGUAAAGGAAGCUUUUCAUGACCCUCCUGCAGAUGGUUUAACCUUCCACAACUUAGAACCUGGAGAGUGGGUCGUUUUGGAAACGACACCUAAGAAAGACUUGAAUGAACUGCUAAGUAGAAGGGACCAUACCAGGUUCUCCUCACUACCCAGAUGGCAGCCUAACUUCAGGAACUUGAACCCUGGGUCCACAGCUCAUAGUUGAAAGGGCUCCUCCAGACUCUCGGAACUAUGUAUCAGCCAGAGAUGUGAAGUUAAAAUUGACCACAGAGGUUCUUCCUCAGAAUCAUAUGACGCUUGGGGUGGACAACUCUCCCAAGAUCAUGGAUCCAAAUCUUCAUCUCCAGCAUGAAACCUUUAUCCCUUUUGCCUAUUGGCUAUCUGCCUUUUCUAUUAAUGUGUGGGAAGACAAUACUAUAAUUAGGAUUUCAUGAAAACAACAGCUACCGUAGGAAACUAACUGCUGGAUUCGUCAUGCUAAACCAAAAUCAGGACUUGAAGGGCAUCCUGAAGGCCACUGUGUGCCUAAAUUGUCCUGCAGGUCCGUUUUAUAAAGUUAACAUACUAAAUCUACAUACUCUUGUUUCUUGCCUCAAUUUAACCCAAUCCUGGGAUGGGAAAACAGGAUUCACUGAAUGCAUAGACAAAAGAUGCUGCAGGACAGCCAGUGUCGGUCAGACCAUUUGUAGGCUUGCUGUUAGGCCCGUCCAUUUGGGCAGUCUUUCAACAUGUGAUAAUACACUAUGUGAGUCUUGGAUGAAGAAUGCCAACCUCUAUACCCGGGAAUGGGUCUAUGAAUGCUAAUACUUGAG